CUUUCUUAUAAAUGUUAUCAUGUCAUAAAAGACAUUUAUGUGCCAACAUACUAAAUGCAAAUAAUCAAACUCUAACCGACACAAAGACCUAAAUAAUUUAGCUAAGACUGUCUGCAUCAGAGAGACCCAAACCCAAAAUAGGUUGCACAUAGUGCUAUAUCUCUUCAGAAACACGAUCCAACGGAUGACCCAAACGUAGAACCCAUUUUGCACACCAUGCCAAUAUAGAUGCAAAAAUGCCUCACUUCUCCACGCUA
rnacentral:lncRNA from 1 species